GUGGUCUGUUGGUCAUUGGUCGGCUGCCCAUCCUGCUCCUUUAUUUCUGUUUAGUGCCCUUGCGUGAACUCUGCCUUUCUCAGAGGUACAAGAGAAGCCGUCCAGGGAUCAGACUCUGCGAGGAGCUCACUCAGAGCAUCUCAUCUCACGUGCCCUAAGGCAGGAAAGGGCAGCCACUGUUCCUCCCAGUGGAAGACAAGACUGCUCGUCCUGCGCUCAGCUCACAGGCACAAGUGAAGGAAUACAAAAAGAAGCCAAGAACAUGGGCAUCUCCAAUAAAAAUCUCACUCGUGUGAACAAAACUGUUUCCUUGUCCUGCAACACCACCUAACAAGGACAGCAAAACUCACAGGCAGCACAGGAGAGUGUUCUGGAACAAUGCUGUGUCUCCUAGUUAAUGUGGGUUUGAGGUCAGCAAGUAACUUGUGAUGUGUUAGACAAGAGCCAGGCAGUGCAACUAACAGGGCAGUGAGGUCUGUGUUCCAUCCCACCUCUUCUGAAGUGCUCCCUACUUUGGUCAAAGGGCAACUGUGCAGAGCAGGAAAAUCUACAUGAAAUGCUUCCUACUGGAGUCACCAUCUGGCCAAUAUUCAUCUUGUUUAGUGAAAUACCAAGAUAUCCAUAGAACGCAGGUGUUAAUGCAGAUCAUAAGGCACAAGUGACCACAGUAAUAAACCAACAUGCAAUGAAAUGUAAUUAACGCACCUGGUGCUAGGGUUUGAAAAGAAUUUCAGUGCUUUUUUAUUUUCCCUGCACACUGAUGUGCAUUUUAAUAGUUGGGACUUCAAUCAUCACUUCUCAACCAACCCUUUAAUCAUAUUAAUUCCCUUAAAAAAUGAACUAUAAUGUUUGCUAGUAAAUAGUAUUUCAUAAUUUAAGCAGGAGGGGAGGGGAAGUGGAAGCACACAUGAAACUAUAUUCUGCUUAGUAGCAUUUUUGUGGCGUGAAAAAGACUAUUGUCCUGUUUCUGUUGGUCUGGUUCUGCUGCUGGCAAAGGUUUGUUUUCA